CUAAUUUCUCACAGAGUAGUUUGUGCUGGCAAGGUGGGCAGAACCAUUCUCCAUCAGGGAUUAUCAUCAAAGGAGGGCGAAGGCAAGCUGUAUGGUAUCCGCUGUCACAGGAGUCACAUAACAAAAUCAGCUCAGGGUGAUUGGGAAGGCCACACUUCUUGCAUGGUUCAUCAUCGUCAGCAGGUGCAGCUUCUUCUUCCUCCUCUUCUUCCUCUUCCUCCUCUUCAUAAGAGUUUUUUUCACUCUCUGAGUCUUCACUUUCUUCAUUGCUUGAGUAUUUCCACCUGCCACGUGUUCGUGUACCCGUCCACCGAACUUUGCUUCUCUUGUUAACCUUAGAAUUUGACUCCUUCUCCUGUUUUUUUGCGUCUUCUUUUUUUUCCUGCUUAUGUGCAGGUUUCUCCUCUUCCUCUUCAGUUCGUUUUUUGUCAGAUUUCUGAUCCCGAGUCUCCACUACUUUCGGAGUAGGCUUAGAUAUUCUUGGGGAUCUCCUUAAUGUGCGGCCAGCAGUGACGUCUUCUGGUGGUGGUUCUGCCUUUCUCUUCCUACUGGAGAUCCUGAUAGUUAAUUUAAUCCCUUCCUUCUGUCUUUCAGAAGUUAUCUCUUUAUUAUCUGUUGUACAGCUUUCUUCUUCAGAAACUAGUUUAUACUUAAAUUUGCUUUUAGGUGUUGGGGAAUCCUUUUUACUCUCCGAGGAGUUCUCUAGAUUGGACGCAUGGGCAUCCU
rnacentral:lncRNA from 1 species